GGGUGGCAGCAGUCGAGAAUCUUUCACAAUGGGGGGCAACCCUGAUGGAGCGACGCCGCGUGGAGGAUAAGGUCUUCGGAUUGUAAACUCCUGUCAUGCGCGAACAAGGUUGCAGAGUUAAUAACUUUGCAAAUUGAUGGUACCGCAAGAGGAAGAGACGGCUAACUCUGUGCCAGCAGCCGCGGUAAUACAGAGGUCUCAAGCGUUGUUCGGAAUCACUGGGCGUAAAGGGUGCGUAGGUGGCGUGGUAAGUCAGAUGUGAAAGCCCGGGGCUCAACCCCGGAAUUGCAUCCGAUACUACCGUGCUAGAGUACUGAAGAGGAAACUAGAAUUCUCGGUGUAGCAGUGAAAUGCGUAGAUAUCGAGAGGAAUACCAAAGGCGAAGGCAGGUUUCUUGGCAGUACUGACACUGAGGCACGAAGGCCAGGGGAGCAAACGGGAUUAGAUACCCGGUAGUCCUGGCAGUAAACGUGCACACUUGGUGUGGGGGAAUUCGACCUCUUCCGCGCCGGAGCUAACGCGUUAAG
rnacentral:rRNA from 1 species